CUCGGGUUUCUCGUCUGCAUGUGGAGAUGAUGACUUUACCAAGACACCUGCUGAGACUGCGAGAUAAGAGCAAGUCUUGGCUCCUUGUGAGAACCUCUGAAUUUUAUUACAGACUCCAUGGGGUCGCAGAGUCGGGCACGACUGAGCGACUGAACUGAACUGAAACUGUUCAUCAGGACUUCAACAUUUAAGAGGGUGAAGGAAAGAGGUUCCCGCUUCUUUUUUCUCUCAAAAAAACAAAGAAAACAACAAACAGAAACAGACUGUUCUUAACACUAGCAGACAUUGAAAAUGUGAACCAUUAAAUGUGGACCACUGAGUGGCUAGAAGAAUGACAAAGAAAUGAACAAAGAUGAAUCCAAAUACCAAUAGAAGCGUAAUUUAUUUACAAUAAAAUUCACCAAUUUUAUUUUUACCCAAAUUUUAUCAUUCACCAAAAAUACUCAAGAGUG
ensembl:lncRNA